CUGCUGGGCUGCUCAAAUGUGUCCUCCCUGGCACGUUUUGCUGAUGGCUGCAGCUGGCUGAAGUUGGGCUGUGUUCUGUUCCAGGGGCUGAUUUCCUUUCUGGCACUGGGUGUGCGCGCGCUGUCCCCGGCAGCAGGCCUGGGCACGGGGCACAGAUCUGGGCGUCCCUCAGAAGCGCUUUCUCACGAGUGCCGGAGGAAUGCUGCUGGAAUUCUUCCAGGUUCUUGCAGGAAAAUACUCAUUGGAGUGCGAAUGACAAAAUCUCAAGUACCAAAUAUAACCCGUGCAUCUCCACGGAGGUGGGAACAGUGAAUAAAGGCAGAGAUCCCCCUUGCAGCAGUGGCAGCUCCUGUGAUUUAGGGCACUACACCUGGCUAUCUCUCCAUUUCUCUUCAGCAGCAACUGCUAGAAAGGAAUUAACUCAUAAUAUGUUUGAAUGAAAACCAAAUAAAAUUUAG